CGCCAGACUCCUACGGGAGGCAGCAGUGGGGAAUAUUGCACAAUGGGGGAAACCCUGAUGCAGCGACGCCGCGUGAGUGAAGAAGUAAUUCGUUACGUAAAGCUCUAUCAGCAGGGAAGAAAAUGACGGUACCUGAUUAAGAAGCCCCGGCUAACUACGUGCCAGCAGCCGCGGUAAUACGUAGGGGGCAAGCGUUAUCCGGAUUUACUGGGUGUAAAGGGAGCGUAGACGGCAGCGCAAGUCUGAAGGGAAAUCGCGGGGCCAACCCCCCGCCCCGCCGUUGAAACUGGCAGUCUCGAGUUGGAGAGAAGUAUGCGGAAUGCGCGGUGUAGCGGUGAAAUGCAUAGAUAUCGCGCAGAACUCCGAUUGCGAAGGCAGCAUGCCGGCUCCACACUGACGCUGAGGCACGAAAGCGUGGGUAUCGAACAGGAUUAGAUACCCCGGUA
rnacentral:rRNA from 1 species